rfam:Rothia nasimurium strain PT-32 scaffold7_size287693, whole genome shotgun sequence.
GGUCAAGAGAGCCAGCACUAAGCCCCAGCUAGCUGGUCGGCAACCCUCCACUCGCGGUGGGGUGCCCUGGGUGAAGACCUGGCGUACCCAUCGAGAACCAGGUACGCAAGCGCGGGAC